rnacentral:rRNA from 1 species
UACGGAAGGCAGCAGUGGGGAAUAUUGCACAAUGGGCGCAAGCCUGAUGCAGCCAUGCCGCGUGUAUGAAGAAGGCCUUCGGGUUGUAAAGUACUUUCAGUCGUGAGGAAGGUGUUAAGGUUAAUAACCUUAGCAAUUGACGUUAGCGACAGAAGAAGCACCGGCUAACUCCGUGCCAGCAGCCGCGGUAAUACGGAGGGUGCGAGCGUUAAUCGGAAUUACUUGGGCGUAAAGGGCACGCAGGCGGUUAAUUAAGUUGGAUGUGAAAUCCCCGGGCUUAACCUGGGAAUGGCAUUCAAGCUGGUUAGCUAGAGUCUUGUAGAGGGGGUAGAAUUCCAUGUGUAGCGGUGAAAUGCGUAGAGAUGUGGAGGAAUACCGGUGGCGAAGGCGGCCCCUGGACAAAGGACUGACGCUCAUGUGCGAAAGCGUGGGGAGCAAAC